rnacentral:rRNA from 1 species
ACGCUCGACACCUACGGGAGGUAGCAGUGGGGAAUAUUGCACAAUGGGGGAAACCCGUGAUGCAGCGACGCCGCGUGAGUGAAGAAGUAUUUCGGUAUGUAAAGCUCUAUCAGCAGGGAAGAGAAUGACGGUACCUGACUAAGAAGCCCCGGCUAACUACGUGCCAGCAGCCGUGGUAAUCUGAGCGGGCUGGCAAGGC